rnacentral:rRNA from 1 species
UGGGGAAUCUUGGACAAUGGGGGCAACCCUGAUCCAGCGAUGCCGCGUGAGUGAAGAAGGCCUUCGGGUCGUAAAGCUCUUUAGGUUGGGAAGAAGUGCAUGAGAUGAAUAAUCUGAUGUGUUGACGGUACCGACAGAAUAAGCACCGGCAAACUCUGUGCCAGCAGCCGCGGUAAUACAGAGGGUGCGAGCGUUAAUCGGAGUUACUGGGCGUAAAGGGCGCGUAGGCGGUUAAAUAUGUGUGAUGUGAAAGCCCUGGGCUUAACCUGGGAAGUGCAUCGCAAACUGUUUGACUGGAGUAUAUGAGAGGGUGGCGGAAUUUCCGGUGUAGCGGUGAAAUGCGUAGAGAUCGGAAGGAACGUCGAUGGCGAAGGCAGCCACCUGGCAUAAUACUGACGCUGAGGCGCGAAAGCGUGGGGAGCGAACAGGAUUAGAUACCCCUGUAGUCC